rnacentral:snoRNA from 15 species
AAGACUAUACUUUCAGGGAUCAUUUCUAUAGUUUUUGACUUGAGAAAUGUGUUUCUAAAGUGUUUGGUCUCGCUAACCACGAUGAUGAGUCGUGAUAUUUCCUUCUGAGCGUGAAGCUGACAGAGAAUAAUGAUUCAGUUCAUAUGUUCUCUGUCAUUGAUGACCGUUCCUUGUUUCCUAGAGGAGCAUUGAGGAAGGGAAUAUGAUCAGAGUGGUG